GGACCCCACUGCUAUCGGGGUGGGACUAAAACAUGCAAGUCGAGCGCCUUCAAGCUAUGGUGAAGGCGCGGCAAACGGCUCAGUAACACGUGGCCAACCUACCCUUGGGACGGAGACAACCCCGGGAAACUGGGGCUAAUCCCCGAUAGGUAAGGAAUCCUGGAAUGGAUCUUUGCUGAAAGGGCGUCUAGACCAUGCUUCUUGACGUCGCCCAAGGAUGGAGCCGCGGCCGAUCAGGUAGUUGGCGAGGCAACGGCUCACCAAGCCUAUAACCGGUACGGGCCGUGAGAGCGGUAGCCCGGAGAUGGGCACUGAGACAAGGGCCCAGGCCCCACGGGGCGCAGCAGUUGCGAAAACUCCGCAAUGCGCGAAAGCGUGACGGGGCUACCCCGAGUGCCGCCCGUUGAGGGCGGCUUUUCCAUGGUGUAAGGAGCCGUGGGAAUAAGGAGAGGGCAAGACUGGUGUCAGCCGCCGCGGUAAUACCAGCUCUCCGAGUGGUGGGGACGAUUAUUGGGCUUAAAGCGUUCGUAGCCGGCUUAACAAGUCUUCCGUUAAAUCCACCGAUCUAAUCGUUGGGCUGCGGGAGAUACUGUUGGGCUAGGAGGCGGGAGAAGCCGACGGUAUUCUCGGGGUAGGGGUGAAAUCCUGUAAUCCCGGGAGGACCACCAGUGGCGAANGCGGUCGGCUAGAACGCGCUCGACGGUGAGGGACGAAAGCUGGGGGAGCGAAUCGGAUUANAAACCCGAGUAGUCCCAGCUGUAAACGAUGCGGGCUAGGUGUUGGGGUGGCCACGAGCCACUUCAGUGCCGCAUGGAAGCAAUUNAAGCCCGCCGCCUGGGGAGUACNGNCGCAAGGCUGAAACUUAA
rnacentral:rRNA from 1 species